AAUAUUAUGAAUACCUAUUUUAAUCUGCUUAUAAAACAGUCAAAAAUUAAAUGUAUACACCAACAGAGGGCGUGAGCGUCGCCGUAGUAGGGACGACAUCCGUCGGCCGAAUCGCCUCAGAAAGAAACUAGAUAGUUGUGUGGCGUUCACCGUACUGCUGUGUAUCGUAACGGGUCGUUGUAUUUACUUAGAUUUUGAGUCUACUCGUUAUUUAUUAAUUAAGAUUUUUGAUAUUAUAAACGAAUUGCUCAUAUUUUAUGCCCGAAGUUAACACAAGUAACUGUCUUGAUCCUUGACUACUAGAUCAAGAAAAUGAUUCUAAUUUAUAAUUUUUAACUUUCAUUUUUUUCAUUUUACCUGAUAUUUUUACUUCAUAAAAACUAUAAAAUAUGAUUUUAUAAGUUAAUUUUGACGAAUAAUACAACUUAACAUUUUUUCGUAUUGAAAAGGAGCGAUUUUCAGUUGUACAAAUGUAUUCUUUAGUUACACUCAUAAUACAUUUGAAUUCCUUCUACAAACCAUUCUGGUACAUUUGUACUAUCUUUUAUGGCUUAUCAUAAUUAUUAUUUAUUAUCAUCUGUUAUCUAUGUUUUGCAGUUCUACAUUCGUUUUUGUAUUUAAGUUUCAAUUGUAAAUUCCUUUCAUGUAUUUUGUAUAAAAAUGAAGUUUGUCUGUUAGUUUAUGUUUUGAUAGUUUCCUUUUCUGAAUUAAUCAGUGUUGUCCACGUACUAGUUGUUAUAUAAAAAUUGUCGUUCUCCUUAUGGUAUCUAGUAGUGACAUUUUGUCCUCCAACCAUUAUACAUAUUUAACUUACUAUUUUUUUUUAGAUGGCUGUACACCAGAUAUACUCAGGACAUAUUGAAACAUGAAUUACCAUUUCUACCACAUGGGAAAGUUUCAACAUCCUACGUUGAAAAUGGACUGGACGAUCCUGAUAAUAAUAAUAGUUUUAUGCAUAAUGGCAGUACAGCAGAUCAUUCAAUACAUGCCGAGACAUGAAUUCACAUUUCUACCACUAUGCUAAAUAUCAAUAUCCUACGUUGAAAAUGUACUAGACGAUACUGCUAAUAACAAGGGUUUUGUGCAACGUGCGUGUAAUGGAUGGCAGUACAGCAGAUCACUCAAUACAUGCUGAGACAUGAAUUCACAUUUCUACCACUAUGCAAAACAUCAACAUCCUACGUUGGAAAUGGACUAGACAGUACUGCUAAUAAUAAUGGUUUUGUGCAACGUGCGCGUAAUGGAUGGCAGUACUGCAGAUCACUGGAGGCAUGCUGAGACAUGAAUUAACAUUUCUAUCACUUGGGAAAGUUACAACAUUUUCCGUUGAAAAUGGAAUAGAAGAUGGCAGUAUAUCAGAUCAAUCAAGGCAUGCUGAGACACGAAUUCACAUUUCUACCACUAAGGAGAGUAUCAACAUCCUAGGUUGAAAAUGGACUAGAAGAUACUGAUAAUAAUAUUGGAUUUAUGCAAUGAUGGCAGUACAGCAGAUCAUUCAAUACAUGCCGAGACAUGAAUUCACAUUUCUACCACUAUGCUAAAUAUCAAUAUCCUACGUUGAAAAUGUACUAGACGAUACUGCUAAUAACAAGGGUUUUGUGCAACGUGCGUGUAAUGGAUGGCAGUACAGCAGAUCACUCAAUACAUGCUGAGACAUGAAUUCACAUUUCUACCACUAUGCAAAACAUCAACAUCCUACGUUGGAAAUGGACUAGACAGUACUGCUAAUAAUAAUGGUUUUGUGCAACGUGCGCGUAAUGGAUGGCAGUACUGCAGAUCACUGGAGGCAUGCUGAGACAUGAAUUAACAUUUCUAUCACUUGGGAAAGUUACAACAUUUUCCGUUGAAAAUGGAAUAGAAGAUGGCAGUAUAUCAGAUCAAUCAAGGCAUGCUGAGACACGAAUUCACAUUUCUACCACUAAGGAGAGUAUCAACAUCCUAGGUUGAAAAUGGACUAGAAGAUACUGAUAAUAAUAUUGGAUUUAUGCAAUGAUGGCAGUACAGCAGAUCAUUCAAUACAUGCCGAGACAUGAAUUCACAUUUCUACCACUAUGCUAAAUAUCAAUAUCCUACGUUGAAAAUGUACUAGACGAUACUGCUAAUAACAAGGGUUUUGUGCAACGUGCGUGUAAUGGAUGGCAGUACAGCAGAUCACUCAAUACAUGCUGAGACAUGAAUUCACAUUUCUACCACUAUGCAAAACAUCAACAUCCUACGUUGGAAAUGGACUAGACAGUACUGCUAAUAAUAAUGGUUUUGUGCAACAUGGCAGUACAGCAGAUCAUUCAAUACAUGCUGAGACAUGAAUUCACAUUUCUACCACUAUGCAAAAUAUCAACAUCCUACGUUGAAAAUGUACUAGACGAUACUGCUAAUAAUAAUGGUUUUGUGCAACAUGCGUGUGAUGGAUUGCGGUACAGCAGAUCAUUCAAGACAUGCUGAGACAUGAAUUAACAUUUCUACCACAUGGGAAAGUUACAACAUCCUAUGUUGAAAAUGGAAUAGAAGAUACUGAUAAUAAUAUUGGAUUUAUGCGUUAUGGUUGUGCAACAGAUCACUGAAUUAACAUUUUUACCACUUAGGAUAGUUUCAACAUCUUACAUUUAUAAUGGACUUGAAGAUUUUGAUAAUAAUAAUAAUUUUAUAGAAUGUACGUGUCAUGGGUAUUGAAUGUAAUUGUAACAUUUAAAUACAAUAAAAUCUGAUCAUUAUAUAUGAAAAACAAUUUUGAACGAUGACGUUUUAUCAUCCUAUUAUAUAUCUAAGUAGUUUGAUGGAAUUAUUGUGAAUAAAGUUAUUUAUUUUA